CCUACGGGUGGCAGCAGUGGGGAAUAUUGCACAAUGGGCGCAAGCCUGAUGCAGCCAUGCCGCGUGUGUGAAGAAGGCCUUCGGGUUGUAAAGCACUUUCAGCGGGGAGGAAGGCGUUAAGGUUAAUAACCUUGUCGAUUGACGUUACCCGCAGAAGAAGCACCGGCUAACUCCGUGCCAGCAGCCGCGGUAAUACGGAGGGUGCAAGCGUUAAUCGGAAUUACUGGGCGUAAAGCGCACGCAGGCGGUCUGUCAAGUCGUAUGUGAAAUCCCCGGGCUCAACCUGGGAACUGCAUUCGAAACUGGCAGGCUAGAGUCUUGUAGAGGGGGGUAGAAUUCCAGGUGUAGCGGUGAAAUGCGUAGAGACCUGGAGGAAUACCGGUGGCGAAGGCGGCCCCCUGGACAAAGACUGACGCUCAGGUGCGAAAGCGUGGGGAGCAAACAGGAUUAGAUACCCUAGUAGUC
rnacentral:rRNA from 1 species